AAGUUUAUUUUGAAAUAUUAGCCGGAACUGUUUCCUGUUGCAUUUUUCCACUCAACAAUGGCGACAUGACAAUCUCUCAAUGAGUGUGGUGAACUUGUCCUUCGCUGCGUGUGGUUUUUUGGGCAUCUACCACCUGGGAUCUGUGGAGGCUUUUCUCCGUCAUGGGGAUAAGCUGCUUGCCUCGCUCAAGUCCUACGCGGGGUCCUCAGCAGGGGCUCUUGUUGCUACCGUCAUGCUUACGGCUCCUGAUAAAGUCAAGCAUUGCCAAGAAUUUACCUACUAUUUUGCUGAGAACGUAAGACAACAGAAAUUUGGAGCGCUCACACCUGGAUAUAAUCUCAUGUCCAAUCUGCGGGAAGGGAUUGAGGAGAUGCUGCCAGUCGAUGCGCACAUUCUGGCAUCUGACCGUCUUCAUGUCUCAUUGACGCACUCCAGAAGUGGCAAGAACCUCAUUGUGUCCCGCUUCAACUCGAGAGAGGAGCUCAUACAGGCACUCCUGGCCAGCAGCUUUGUGCCAGUCUAUGCUGGGCUCCAACCGAUAAAGUUCCAAGGCCAGAAAUGGAUUGACGGAGGCUUCACCGACAGCCUACCAAUCCUGCCUGUGGGCCGAACCAUCACAGUGUCCCCGUUCGCAGGGCGGCAGGAUGUGAGUCCCUUGCACAAGGGCCACGCGUUCAAGACCCAACUCAGGCUGGCCAACAUGAACAUCAUAUUCUCCGUGGAAAACCUCAAAAGACUGAACCAAGCUUUAUUCCCGCCACCACCCGACAGAAUGCGGUUCCUCUGUCAGGAGGGUUUUGAUGACGCCAUGAGGUUCCUGAAGACGGAGGGUUGGAUGAGCUAAAAGGGAUGCUUUGGUUUUUGGUGCGGGAAGUGAAAGCAACAACUCUCCCUCCGUGUAGAAGGCCUUAACACAUGUUGGAAUUCUGGAGUCUGGAAGGUUCUGCUGAUGGCUGGACCUUCGCCGUCUGCAGCGAUAGCUCGGAUAUCCAACCGGUAGACACUGGAGGGGCGUAUGUCCGAAACUGCUAGAACGUUAACGUCCUGUGAUGGGAAAACACGGCAUGUGGUGGGAGGUGAGUUAAGCAAAGCAACAUUUUGCACAGGGGUCAUUCCAGAAUUGGAGGACAACUUGGGAACCAGGUUUUGGGUUUUUUUUGUUUUUUUUAAACUGACUAUACGCUGGAUAUUGUAUCGUUACAUUUAAAAAACAUUAAAAAAAAAAAAAGGAAACCACAUAAUUUGACUCAUCCUGCUAACUCGUCAACAGUUUUUAUGAGAUUUAUGUCAUAUGGUUUUGCAGUGCAUGACCCUGUAACUGGCACUGAGCCAGUCGGAAAAAAAAAUAGAUUUAAAAAUACGAUGAAAUAAAUAUUUCACAGUUAAAUAAAUUUUCAUUUUAUUUAAAUACAAAUUUUUCAUAUCCCCAUAACUCAAAUUACAUUAUCAAGGUUGGAAAUCAAUUUCGAUGAUUUCGUGCUAGCCGCAAAGCUAAUUUGUCAAGAAUAAACACAGCUAUAGAGUUACAAAAUAUUGCUGAAUAAGCUUCAAUGAACUAAAUGAAAUUAGAUUAGAUUUUAAUGCGAAAUGAAUUUUAAUAGUUCCCUAAAAUACAUCAACAGAGUUGUAAAUCAAUGCGAAAAUGUUAAAAUUAUUUGCUUAAAAGUAUAUGCUAGCUGUGCUAGACGAUAUGCUAGCUUGUCAAGAAAAAAACUUAGCCUCGUUAAAAAAGAAACCCACUGCUAUAAUGUCUUUCUGGUCACAAGUAAGAAGGUUGUGUUGGUUUGAGUGAAACAUCUUUUUACAUCUUAAAACAUUAAACAUUUAAAGGAAAAAAAAGAAAUUUUAGGAAAUUAGCUAAUGUCAGUGAGUUGUGUAGGGCGGCCCGGUAGCCCAGUGGUUAGCACGUCGGCUUCACAGUGCAGAGGUACCGGGUUCGAUUCCAGCUCCGGCCUCACUGUGUGGAGUUUGCAUGUUCUCCCCGGGCCUGCGUGGGUUUUCUCCGGGUGCUCCGGUUUCCUCCCACAUUCCAAAAAUAUGCAUGGCAGGCUGAUUGAACACUCUAAAUUGUC